UUAGAACAGUACCAACAUACACUAAGCAUUUUAACAAGGAGGAUUACGGAGUCAUAUCACACUGAACAAGAACUCAUAAGCAAUCUAGAAGUUCUCCUGAAUUAUUUGAAUACUCUUAGAAAUCAAUUUGAAGCUCUGUCUGAAAUCUUUGAUCGGACCUCCGCACAGAAUUUACUGCAAGAGUCUUAUGACCAAAGUAUCUGUUUGCCUGAAUACAACGGUAGAGUGGGAAGACCAAGGAUACAUGUAAUGCAAGAGCAGUUAAACAUACUGCACAAUACAGCUGGCUUUCGAUGGGCUGAUAUUGGAAGAAUUUUAGGUGUUUCAGAAAGAACUAUUAGAUGGCGUAGGCAUCAGUUUGGGCUUGUAGUGGGUAGAGAAACUGCGUUCAGCAACAUCUCUGACAACGAUCUGGACAACCUUGUUCGUGAAAUAUUAAUCACUACACCAAGUUCUGGUGGUCGUCUCGUGGAAGGCAGUUUGAGGAGUAGGGGA
rnacentral:lncRNA from 1 species